AGAAUGAUGUUUGUUUGACACUAGAAGGAUGUUUUCACAUUCCUGGUCCAGUAUGCAACUUAUACAAGUGUGAUAGAAACCUGAAGGGGAGAAUGGACUUUACAGGGAAGUAGGGGACAUCUCCAGCAGGAAAACUUUAGAAAUGAACAACAUUUUCAUAUUCUAACUCUUUAGUCCACCCAGACAUUUUCUAUUUUUGUCUUCUCUUGUCUAUGUUUUAUUUAUUGUCUAUGUUCUACCCUGGGUCUGAGAGAGAAAAUUAUUUCAAUGAUAUACAUUCCUUAUGGCUAGAAAUACAAAAUAAUCUUCCUGACUUUUAUUUAUUAAAAUGUACACGGCAUCAAUAGCUGUUACCCAUCGACUGGAGAACAGUGUGCGAGCUAGCAGCCUACUGACAAUUGCAAUUAAGUACACACACGACAAACUCUACUCACUGUAACACAUAUCCAACGCACCCCUUCACCUUUGCAUGGCAGGCUGUUUGAGCGCUGGUUGCGUUGCUGCUGCAUUGCUCAGUUGCAAAACGCGUGCUAAAAACAAUUAUCAGUAACUAAACAGCGUUUCAUUAGCAGGUUAACCUAACAACAGUCCGAUCCCGUCGAUUAUGGAAGGCAAAAUAACGUAUUUGCACCAUGUUUGUCACUCUGUUUGAGGGCCACGCAUCGUGUUAGGCGCACAGGUGGAGUUCAGAUCGAGUAUCCUCACCUGCAGCACUUGGGGUCACACUCCUUCCCUUCUUUCUCAGACACUGAAGAACAGCUGCUUCACCUGUCCAAGAUCAGUGGAAAGCAAAACCAUUGUUGUGAGCCAAAAUAAUCCUUGGAACCAAAUGCAAGUUCUCAUUACCAGAUCGGCUGAGCUGAGAGCCCCAGGCAACUGGUUUUUCCCAGCGAGCUGGGGUUCCUGUGUUGUGGUGGGAGGGUCGGCAGAGGCGACAUGGGCAAAUGUUGCUGUUUAUUUCCAUUCUGUCAUGUGUGUGAAUCUGAUUACAGGUCGCUAAGUCAAUAUUUAGCUUCUGCGGACGGCAUCAUCGUCGGCCAGUUUAUUUUUUCUGGGCCCUGCCACAUCUGCUGCCAAUGUCAUGUGCGGUAGCCGACGUGUGCCGCUACCAGGAAGGAAAGCAAACAAUGAGUCUGCAGUCCUGCUCGAGUGAGUCAGGCAAAAGAGUGGUGAGCACGAAACCAUGAUUUGCAGCUAGAAGUCAGACUGGUUUGGGGAUAGUGGUGCUUAGAGCAGUUUGAGGGAUGCCUUAAUGAAUCUGAUGAGGGGUCAGGGAAGUUCAUGGUAAAACACUAAUUUCUCACAUCAGCCUCAUUCAUAUUUGAAAGAAAAACAAACCACAAGUAGCUAAAGGCAAAAACAUGCUUACAGAAGACUUAUAAGUAUGUCAUGUUCAAGAGCACACUUCCAGUUCCAUGCCUUCAUAUAUAGACUUUGUAGAAACUGUAAGACAGUAAUUGAAUUUCAUGCAUUUUUCUGUUUGAUUCCAUUUGUCUGAGAAUCUUGCAUGGGGGGCUGCCACUUUAUUACAAGCAAAGAGGAACACUAGAUUGAGGCUUCUUUUCAUCUGGCCCUCAGGCAAGAAGGAUUUGAUAUUUAUUAAAAAUGGAGUAUAUUUCUUCCAGUCAUGACUUCAUUACCUCAGGUUAUUCCAGUGAGGCAGACCACACACAGUCGCAAGAUCUGAAACACCUCCUCUGCUUGUUUGCAUGACCUGCUAUUUGAAUUUGAGGGUUCACAGAAUUGUGGACUUUCUGUGCCAAAGAUGUGCAAGUCAGGACUUCAUUAAACUUGGAAUAGUUUCUAUGCUGGCUGUUACUUGAACUGAGUUGGCAAUCUUGAAGUAUUUGUGGACUUGCUCUUAGUUACAACUAUCUCAGCUACAUCAACUGUAUAUUCUGCUUUUGCAUUUAUUGUGAAUGUAAAUUAUCUAGCUGGUUUUACAGCAGAAUUGUAAGUUUUACUACUUGUUUAAGACAUUAAGGACAAAAUGUCUCAGCAUGACCUUGGAGUCCUGCCAUGUGUAAGGGGCCUAUACUGCAUUUUAGGUAGGAGACAUACAUACAUUAUACAUACUGUGCAAAAAAAGAACAACUCCCCCAACUGCCAGUGCCCCUCCACCCCUUGAAAUUCACUUUCGUCUGCAAAACAUCUGGAAUUCAUUGAGAGGAGGAGGUUUGGGGGAAAUGAACUCCGACAAGAGUCUGUAGAUUUGGGUACGGCCCCCUGCUUUAGGUUCCCUCAGAUGGUUAAGAUAUGCCUGCAGACAAAAACCUACUGGUUUGUCUCAUAUGGACGUAUACCUCUCCCACCCUGAAAACUAAAUAAUAGUUUGUUGAGAUUACAUUGACUUUUAGCAUUAAAAAUGCUUUUGAAUGCUAAAAUGCAGCAACUAUAGACAUGUGGACAGAAAGCCUCAAUUUAUUCUGUUGAAACUUUGAUCUAGAAUAAAGUAAAGUUAACACAAAUGUAAUCCAUAAUGAUGCUGCUCCUUGAUUUGUCCUCUCUUUGCAUGUAAUGACCCCAUGGAAAGUGGUUGUUACUAGAAAAUGUGUUUCUGUAAUUCUUGACAGUUUUUCCAUUAAAAAUAAUUGUAAACAUCAAAGAGAUGUGUUGAAUUUUCCUAUUAAAAAGUGAGUCGUUGUGUUAGUCAGAGUGACCAAAAGUCAGAGUGGUUGUGCCCUUCCAGAUGUUGAUUGUCAUUUGUGUUUUGGACAUGCAGAGCACGCUUGGUGUAGC
rnacentral:lncRNA from 15 species